rnacentral:rRNA from 1 species
UGAGGAAUAUUGGUCAAUGGGCGCAAGCCUGAACCAGCCAUCCCGCGUGAAGGACGACUGCCCUAUGGGUUGUAAACUUCUUUUGUAUAGGGAUAAACCUACCCUCGUGAGGGUAGCUGAAGGUACUAUACGAAUAAGCACCGGCUAACUCCGUGCCAGCAGCCGCGGUAAUACGGAGGGUGCAAGCGUUAUCCGGAUUUAUUGGGUUUAAAGGGUCCGUAGGCGGACUUAUAAGUCAGUGGUGAAAGCCUGUCGCUUAACGAUAGAACUGCCAUUGAUACUGUAAGUCUUGAGUAUAUUUGAGGUAGCUGGAAUAAGUAGUGUAGCGGUGAAAUGCAUAGAUAUUACUUAGAACACCAAUUGCGAAGGCAGGUUACCAAGAUAUAACUGACGCUGAGGGACGAAAGCGUGGGGAGCGAACA